rnacentral:lncRNA from 1 species
GUGAUGAGUUUGAGAAGGACAGCCCUGACCAGUACUUAGCAGGAUUGCUGCACCUUGCUGAAAACAACAAAGGAAAAGUUGUAGCAAUAGGGGAGUGUGGACUUGAUUUUGACCGACUUCAGUUUUGUCCCAAAGAUACUCAACUCAAAUAUUUGAAAAACAAUUUGAAUUGUCAGAACAAACAAAAUUACCAAUGUUUCUUCAUUGUCGAAAUUCACAUACUGAGUUUUUUGGAUAUUGUGAGAAGAUAUAGAGAUCGGUAUGUGGGUGGAGUGGUGUAUUCAUUUGAUGGUACGAAGGAAGCAGCGGCUGCUUUGAUUGACUUGGACCUUUAUAUAGGAUUUAAUGGUUGCUCUCUGAAAACUGAAGCUAAUUUGGAAGUUCUGAAGUCAAUACCUAGUGAAAAACUAAUGAUUGAGACAGAUGCACCUUGAUAUGGAGUUAAAAGUACACAUGCUGCAUCAAAACACAUAAAAACCGCAUUUCCUACCAAAAAGAAGUGGAAAGCCGGGUGCUGUUUAAAAGACAGGAACAAGCCCUGCCACAUAGUUCAAAUAUUGGAGAUAAUGUCAGCAGUAAGUGAAGAAGAUCCACUGGAAUAUGCCAACACGCUGUAUAACAAAACCAUUAAAAUAUUCUUUUCCGGAAAAAAAAAUAGUUUAAAA